rnacentral:rRNA from 1 species
GCCUACGGGGCGCAGCAGUAGGGAAUCUUCCACAAUGGGCGAAAGCCUGAUGGAGCAACGCCGCGUGGGUGAAGAAGGUCUUCGGAUCGUAAAACCCUGUUGUUAGAGAAGAAAGUGCGUGAGAGUAACUGUUCACGUUUCGACGGUAUCUAACCAGAAAGCCACGGCUAACCACGUGCCAGCAGCCGCGGUAAUACGUAGGUGGCAAGCGUUAUCCGGAUUUAUUGGGCGUAAAGAGAACGCAGGCGGUCUUUUAAGUCUGAUGUGAAAGCCUUCGGCUUAACCGGAGUAGUGCAUUGGAAACU